GAUGAACGCUGGCGGCGUGCCUAAUACAUGCAAGUCGAGCGAACGGACGAGAAGCUUGCUUCUCUGAUGUUAGCGGCGGACGGGUGAGUAACACGUGGAUAACCUACCUAUAAGACUGGGAUAACUUCGGGAAACCGGAGCUAAUACCGGAUAAUAUUUUGAACCGCAUGGUUCAAAAGUGAAAGACGGUCUUGCUGUCACUUAUAGAUGGAUCCGCGCUGCAUUAGCUAGUUGGUAAGGUAACGGCUUACCAAGGCAACGAUGCAUAGCCGACCUGAGAGGGUGAUCGGCCACACUGGAACUGAGACACGGUCCAGACUCCUACGGGAGGCAGCAGUAGGGAAUCUUCCGCAAUGGGCGAAAGCCUGACGGAGCCACGCCGCGUGAGUGAUGAAGGUCUUCGGAUCGUAAAACUCUGUUAUUAGGGAAGAACAGAUGUGUAAGUAACUGUGCACAUCUUGACGGUACCUAAUCAGAAAGCCACGGCUAACUACGUG
rnacentral:rRNA from 1 species